CACGCCGUAAACGAUGAGUACUAGGUGUAGGGGGUAUCGACCCCCCCUGUGCCGCAGUAAACACAAUAAGUACUCCGCCUGGGAAGUACGAUCGCAAGAUUAAAACUCAAAGGAAGUGACGGGGACCCGCACAAGCAGCGGAGCAUGUGGUUUAAUUCGAAGCAACGCGAAGAACCUUACCUGGACUUGACAUCCCCUGAAUUACUCGUAAUGGAGGAAGCCCUCCGGGGCAGGGAGACAGGUGG
rnacentral:rRNA from 1 species